GCCUGGGUGGCUUAGUCGGUUAAGUGUCAGACUUCAGCUCUGGUCAUGAUCUCGUGGUCCGUGAGUUCGAGCCCCGCGUUGGGCU
rnacentral:tRNA from 1 species